UAUAUAUAUAUAAAUAAUAUCAAAUAUUCCUAAAUACAAUUGAUAUUCAAGUGGACUUUCAGAUGAUUAUUAAAAUAAAGUGUAUUUGACUCCACAUCAUACUUAAAUGUCAGCUUAAUCUAAAAGAAGUUAAUAAAAUAUGAAUGAUACUCGGAUGUUUAGGUUAUUUUUUUUAGAGAACUCAGACGCUGCGGGUUCAUUUUUACCUUUUUUUGAUUUUAAAAUAAUCACACUGAUAAAUACUUCUAUUUUAAACUCUGCACACACAACUGAUCAUUGUCAAAGCCUCGAAGAGUUCUUGCUUGAACGGAGCUUGAACGGAACUUCCUUUUUUCCUACCCAAGCAGACUCCAGAGCUAUCUCAACUCUGCUUCUACUUGAACACUACUAAAGUAGUCAACGUAAAGUUUUAUUUUUCUCAGUUUUUUUGUUAAAAGAGA